GUGUUUGCUUAGACAUCACAUAUAUUAAAAAUGGAACAAUACAGAAAAGAUUACCGUGGCUCCUGCACAGGUAUGAGAUGCAAAUUUUUGACAUGGUCCAUAUUUUU
rnacentral:snRNA from 1 species